rnacentral:rRNA from 1 species
AAACCAGCACCUCAAGUGGUCAGGAUGAUUAUUGGGCCUAAAGCAUCCGUAGCCUGUUCUGUAAGUUUUCGGUUAAAUCCACUAGCUCAACUAGUGGGCUGCCGAAAAUACUGUAGAACUAGGGAGUGGGAGAGGUAGACGGUAUUCGGUAGGAAGGGGUAAAAUCCUUUGAUCUAUUGAGGACCACCUGUGGCGAAGGCGGUCUACCAGAACACGUUCGACGGUGAGGGAUGAAAGCUGGGGGAGCAAACCGGAUUAGAAACCCCUGUAGUCC